CUUUUAAACAGUGUGCAAAUUUGUGUGUGCGUUUCUAACGUGAGCUGGUCAUUGGAAGAAUUCCGAAAAAAUCUGAAAGGAACUUUAAUCUUUGGGAUUUUUGAUUAUUUCGAUAGACAAUAAAAAGAGGCAUACAUUGUUCUGCUAAAAGACCUAUUAAAUAACAAAAUGGAUUUCAUUUUUAACAAUUUGAUUCGAAUUCUCGCUAACUUGACAAUCUGGGAGUCAUUGUUUGCCGAGCUUCAGCAACACGAAAUAUUUGAACUAGAGGAUAGUCUUGCCGACAAUAGUUUUACCGAAAGUGAAUCUUUCGAAGGAAACGAAAUGAUCGGAGUAGAGGAUGGACUUGAUGACAAUAGUUAUACCGAAAGUGAAUCUUACGAAGACGAAAUGGAACUAGAUAGUCUUGGUGACAGUAUUUUUACCGAAAGUGAAGACGACGAAAUUGUCGAACAAGGGCAUAGUUUUGAGAACAAUUAUUAUACCGAUAGUGACUAUACCUGUAGUGACGAUGAUAACAUUGAAGAUUGGUUGUGUCGUUUUUAAUACGAAACCAGAUCUUAUAUA